UCCGUAGGCGGUUUUGUAAGUCAGUGGUGAAAGCCCAUCGCUCAACGGUGGAACGGCCAUUGAUACUGCAAGACUUGAAUUAUUAGGAAGUAACUAGAAUAUGUAGUGUAGCGGUGAAAUGCUUAGAGAUUACAUGGAAUACCAAUUGCGAAGGCAGGUUACUACUAAUGGAUUGACGCUGAUGGACGAAAGCGUGGGGAGCGAACA
rnacentral:rRNA from 1 species